rnacentral:rRNA from 1 species
UACACACCGCCGUCACACCAUGGGAGUUGGCUUUACCUGAAGGCGGUGCGCUAACCCGCAAGGGAGGCAGCCGACCACGGUAGGGUCAGCGACUGGGGUG